rnacentral:tRNA from 1 species
GGGUAUAGCCCAGUGGUAGAGCACAUGCUUAGUAAGUACGAGGUCCUGGGUUCAAUCCCCAGCACCUCCA